ensembl:lncRNA
AUGAAAAUUGCAAAACUAUUAAAACCCUGCUGCUCAUUCAUUAUUGGCAAGUCCAGAGUGUCUCCUCUGAAGCAGAUAACAAUUCCACGUCUCGAGUUGACAGCAGCUGCCGUUGCUGUAAAAAUGGACAAGCUCAUGAGAAAGGAGCUGCAAAUGCCACAAGAAGAAUCUGUGUUUUGGUCUGACAGUACCACUGUUUUAAAGUACAUCUCCAGUGAGAACACCAGAUUUAAGACAUUUGUGGCAAAUCGAGUGUCACUUAUUAGAGACAACACAAAACCAAGUCAGUGGAUGUAUGUGAACUCUGAAUUAAACCCUGCUGACCAUGCUUCAAGAGGGAUGAACACAGACACAUUCAUGAAGUGUUCAAACUGGAUUGCUGGGCCAGAGUUUUUGACAAAAGAUAGGAAAAACUGGCCAAUUCCACCGGACAUUAAAGAAACACUAAAAAAUGAUGUUGAAGUCAAAGAGGUGAUGAGUGUGGAUGUUACAAAAUUACACGAAAAUCCAGUGAACAAACUGAUCUCUCACUAUUCAAACUGGUACCGUCUGAAAAAGGCAGUUUCCUGGAUACUUAUGUUCAAGCAGCUGCUUUGCAGGUUAAGUGCACAUCGGAAGCUUCUCAUGUCACAAGCAAGCGACUGUGAAAGCAGCAAAAGGAAAGCUGAAAAGGUUGCAGGUCAAAUGCAGCAGUUCAAAACAUGUAUUAAGGGAUCUUCACUUACCAUUGCAGAUGUUGCAAAGGGAGAAACUGAGAUUGUUAAGUUUUGUCAAAAUCAAAGCUUCGCAGAAGAACUUGCAAGUCUUCAGAAAGGUGACAAGCUUAAAAGGAGCAGUCACAUUGCAAAGCUGGAUCCUUUUGUCCAGGAUGGAGUUUUAAGGGUUGGCGGUAGGUUGCAUGAGUCUGGACUACCAGCCGAUGUUAAGCAUCCAGUGAUUCUCCCUAAAGGUCAUCAUGUUUCUACUUUGAUUCUGAGACACAUUCACCAAGAAACAGGUCAUGGAGGAAGGAAUUACACAUUAUCCAGGCUGAGAGAAAGAUUCUGGAUUCCACAGGCAGAUUCAGCAAUAAGAAAGAUCCUGUCAAAGUGUGUAACAUGUAGAAGGACAUCUGCAAAACCUGGUGAACAAAGAAUGGCAAACCUGCCACAAGAUCGCCUGAUGCCUGACAAACCUCCAUUCACAAACGUGGGCAUAGACUAUUUUGGACCUUUUGAGGUCAAGCAUGGGCGCAGCAGAGUUAAGCGAUAUGGUGUAUUGUUUACAUGUCUUGCUGUUAGAGCAAUACACAUAGAAGUUGCCCACUCACUUGAGACUGAUUCCUGCAUAAAUGCAUUCAGGAGGUUUAUUGCAAGACGAGGUCAAGUGUCUGUCAUGAGAUCAGACAAUGGCACUAACCUUGUGGGUGCAGAAAAGGAAAUGCGUGAAGCAAUCAAGGGAUGGAAUCAUUCAAAGAUCUCAGAGAUGCUCAUGCAAAAGGGCAUCACCUGGAUAUUUAAUCCCCCAGCAGGGUCACAUUUUGGAGGAAUCUGGGAGAGGCAAAUUCGCUCAGUUAGGAGAAUUCUUAACCAGAUGCUAAAGCAGCAACCUCUGGAUGAUGAAUGCUUGCAGACAUUGCUAUGUGAAGUUGAAGCAAUUGUCAACGGCAGGCCAAUAACAAGAGCGUCUAAUGACCCCGAUGAUUUAGACGCACUUACACCCAAUCAUCUACUUCUUCUUAAAGGGCAGCCAGUACUGCCACCUGGAUUGUUUCAAAGAGAGGACUUGUAUGCAAAAAAAAGGUGGAGACAGGUGCAGUACCUGUCAGACAUUUUUUGGAAGCGUUGGACUAAAGAGUAUUUGCCGCUUCUACAAGAAAGACAGAAGUGGUUAGUGACUAGGAGAAAUCUGAGACCAGGAGAUGUUGUUCUCAUAGUUGAUGGACUUGUCAGACGUGUGUUUGUCAAAACCAAAACUAGCGUUUUGAAGAGGCCUAUCGACAAGUUAUGUUUAUUGCUUGAAAUGGAGGCAACAGUUUGA